CACUCACACACGGUUUUGUUUCUUGGCAAUUGUAAACUAUAUCUAUCGUAUUUAUUGCAUGAAUGGAGUCAUUUGAAUAAAAAAAAUGGCGACUGUGUCGCGGGGGCGAGCGGAAGGUUGACCUCCGCGCACUCGAGCAGAGCACUCACCUGUUUGAAGCAGAAGGGCAUGGUGAGCACGCUGACGCCGACAAUGCUGUUCACCACGUUCAUGAUGAGACCCCAGUUGGACGCCGUCAUUUUGGACAGCCGAACGACUCUUUUCCCUGGAUUUCUGGCCUGUGCGUCAAGGAUCAACUGGUAUCGGCGGAAACCAUCAACUCAACCAACAGGUUUUGGCACACAGAGGGUGGGAAUUCCUUCACAUUCAGAUCAAGACAGAGGAAGGUCUCACUGGUGACUCCACACGGCUGCAAAGCUCUGACACAGGGGAGUGAUAAUUUAUUGUCCUACUGGGCUGCAACUGAACGGGGACUGGGUAAAGUGGUGGAAAUGGGGCGGCCUGCGUACAGUAUCUCUCCCUGUAAAUGACGCUCGCGUUCAAAACCCCAUUUGAAAUCAUUCUAUAGAGCAGGGGUCUCAAACUCAACUGGCCACUGGAGCUAGGAUCCGGGCGAGACUGGGCUGCAUCAGGUUUUCCAAAAAAAAAACAAAAAAAACGCAUUUAUUAUAAACAGAAAAAUGAAUAAACUUUGCUUUGGU